rnacentral:rRNA from 1 species
GACGAACGCUGGCGGCGUGCUUAACACAUGCAAGUCGAGCGGUAAGGCCCUUUCGGGGGUACACGAGCGGCGAACGGGUGAGUAACACGUGGGUGACCUGCCCUCAGCUCUGGGAUAAGCCUGGGAAACCGGGUCUAAUACUGGAUAUGACUCCAUGACGCAUGUUGUGGGGUGGAAAGCCUUGUGCGGCUGAGGAUGGGCCCGCGGCCUAUCAGCUUGUUGGUGGGGUGGUGGCCUACCAAGGCGACGACGGGUAGCCGGCCUGAGAGGGCGACCGGCCACACUGGGACUGAGACACGGCCCAGACUCCUACGGGAGGCAGCAGUGGGGAAUCUUGCGCAAUGGGCGAAAGCCUGACGCAGCGACGCCGCGUGAGGGAUGACGGCCUGGUGUAAC